CCUUCGAUAGCUCAGUUGGUAGAGCGGUGGACUGUAGAGGAAAUCACUGUCAUCCAUAGGUCGCUGGUUCAAAUCCGGCUCGAAGGA
rnacentral:tRNA from 1 species